GAGGGCAUAGCUCAGUGGUAGAGCGCAUGCCCAGCAUGCAUGAGGUCCUGGGUUCAAUUCCCUGUACCUCUG
rnacentral:tRNA from 1 species